AGGUGUUUUUUUAAGGUUUUGAAGAAAAAAAAUGUUGAAGAAAAAGAGGGUCGAAAGAGAAGAAGGUUGAAGGAGAUUGAAGGUUGAAGGAGAUUAAAGAAGAGGUUGAAUUUGUAGUGUAUCAUUUUGAAGUACCAAUUGGCAUCAUUUCAUAGUAUACGACAGUAGCAAACAUCGUCUAGACGAUUCGUUUGAAAUAAAUAUUCUUCUUUGACUACCCUGAAAGUUUGAGUAGUAGAAAUCAAGUUGGCUGGUGUCAAUAUACAAUGGAGAAUCUGCUUGAAAUUAUUGGGUUAUGCUUGCGCAAGUUUUGUCGAAAUUGUAAAUAUUAUAAUAUGUAAAUAACAGAUGAAGCUGCUAUGGUGUAAAAUACUCAACUGGCAGAAUAUACUGAACAAUUCUGAGGAUGAGUGCAUAAGCCAUUUGCUAAAAUGUGUGGAGGCUCAAUUGGGAAAGAUAGAAAGGAGAAGGGUUUGCGACAUAUGGAUGACAACAUGUUGGUGCGUUUGGAGGAAGCGAAACGAUAUUGUCUUUAAGAAUGCGGAGUUGGAUAUUGAUGAGCUAUUUUUCAUGAUAUUGAGAGCUUCUUGGCGGUGGCUAUCAAUGGAAGCCAAGGAUAGAUUAGUAUG